UCUCCUCGAGGGGUCUCUGCCUCUACCCAGGACUCUUUCAUGACCAGGAGGCUGAGGCCCCUUACAGGCGGC
rnacentral:pre_miRNA from 1 species